UGGGGAAUAUUGCGCAAUGGGCGCAAGCCUGAUCCAGCCAUGCCGCGUGAGUGACGAAGGCCUUAGGGUUGUAAAGCUCUUUUGGCGGGGAAGAUAAUGACGGUACCCGCAGAAUAAGCUCCGGCUAACUUCGUGCCAGCAGCCGCGGUAAUACAGAGGUGGCAAGCGUUGUUCGGAAUUACUGGGCGUAAAGGGCGCGUAGGCGGUCUUGUAAGUCCCGUGUGAAAGCCCCCGGCUCAACCGGGGAAUGGCACGGGAAACUGCGAGGCUUGAGUUCGGGAGAGGGAAGCGGAAUUCCGGGUGUAGCGGUGAAAUGCGUAGAUAUCCGGAGGAACACCAGUGGCGAAGGCGGCUUCCUGGACCGAUACUGACGCUGAGGUGCGAAAGCUAGGGGAGCAAACGGGAUUAGAUACCCCCGUAGUCCCUGAGCGGGCUGGCAAGGCGCAU
rnacentral:rRNA from 1 species